UAAGUUUCAACAACGGAUCUCUUGGCUCUCGCAUCGAUGAAGAACGCAGCGAAAUGCGAUAAGUAAUGUGAAUUGCAGAAUUCAGUGAAUCAUCGAAUCUUUGAACGCACCUUGCGCUCCUUGGUAUUCCUUGGAGCAUGCCUGUUUGAGUA
rnacentral:rRNA from 1 species